GAUGAAGAACGCAGCGAAAUGCGAUAAGUAGUGUGAAUUGCAGAAUUCAGUGAAUCAUCGAAUCUUUGAACGCACAUUGCGGCCAUAGGUAUUCCUUUGGCCAUGCCUGUUCGAGCGUCAUUUACACCCUCAAGCCUAGCUUGGUGUUGGGCGUCUGUCCCGCCGUUCUCGCGCGCGGACUCGCCUCAAAGUCAUUGGCGGCGGUCGUGCCGGCCCCCUCGCGCAGCACAUUUGCGCUUCUCGGAGGCCCGGCGGAUCCGCGCUCCAGCAAGACCUUUCACGACUUGACCUCGAAUCAGGUAGGAAUACCCGCUGAACUUAAGCAUAUCAAUAAGCGGAGGA
rnacentral:misc_RNA from 1 species